UGGAAGCAGCAUUGCAACCAGGGCCUUUGGGUAUUGGGGGUGUUUUAAGGGAUGAGAAAGGGAAAAUAACUGCUUUGUUCUCAAGCUCAAUUGAAGAGGGUGGCUCUCUUAGAGGCUAGAGCAGAGAUUUUGGUGGCUUUAGAAGGUGUUCAGAGAGCUAAGGACUUAAACUUGAGGAAGCUGAUCAUCGAAGGAGAUUCUAAACUGGUGGUAGAUUGGCUGAAGGGAAACAAAACCGGCCUGUGGAUGUACAGCAAUCGGAAGAAAAAAUUCAAGUGGCUGACAAAAUAUAUGAAAGUUAAAGUAGAUUGGGUUAAGAGAUGUGCAAACUCCUUUGCUGAUGGGUUAGCAAAGCAAGGGGUGAAUAGGGAUAACUUGUUUUGGGUUCACUGUAACUUUUCUGCAUUGUUUCUGGUUUGGGGGAGAUAAGAGAGGUUAUCUCCCCUUUGUAUUCCUUUUUUCUAAUUAAUGAAAUCCUUUGUUAUUGAUAAGAAAAGUGUUGGUAUCUUUGUAAAUAGGCAGCUAGUGUUGGUGUUCUCUUUAAAGUUUGGUUCAUUUCUAUGUGGCAAUCACACCUUUGGAAGAUAGGAGUGUUUGUGUUAGUGGGAUUGUUGUUGUAGGGGCAGUAACAAGCUCAUUCCAAUUUACCCAACACACUUGGAGAACUCAAUUGUUUAUAAUUUGUUUGAGUGCUAUGGGGAUAUACAACAGGGGUAGCCCAUCCACCACCUCUUACCCCCCAACCUUGGUGACGGCAGGACUUGAAGUUUCUGCUACAACCAGCAAGAGAACUUACCAACUGAGCCAGUUGGCACCGUCAUUUGUUACAAUUGACUUUUGUGAUAUAUAAGUUGAUGAUGGUGUACUGUUGUUAGUGGUGCCCUUUAUGAAUAUGACGAGUUAAAGGAAAUGGUAGUCAAGGAGGUUUCUUGACUCUUCCGCCAUGUCAACAUCGAGUUGCUGCCUUCUCUUGUUGAGAAAUUUCUCUCAUACCUGGCGGCUGGCACUAGUAAAGAAGGAAACCAGGGACAUGGCUUGCCAUCAGAGCUGGGAAAAACUGUUGGUGCAAGUACCAUCCGGACCAUUAUUGAAUGGUGACUGUGUUGAGAGAACACUCUUGGAAAAAUUCAUGUCUUCCAUAAUGAGAGUAUAAAGAAGGACAUGUGCAGGGGCAAGCCAAAAAGAAUGCUUGGGUUAGUUGCAUCUAGCCUUUGUAAAUUUCCAAGGUAAAACACAACAGCUUAUGGAAAUAUGGAGGAACCUACAGAAAGGCAGAAGGCCAAAAAGAAUGUCCAGUUUACGGGUUUGGUUGCAUCUUGUCCUUUGUAAAGUUCCAAGGUAAAACGCAACAGCUUGUGGUAAACAUGGAGGAACCUACAGAUAAGCAGAAGGUAUGCUCUUUUAUUUUCUUAUUUAUAAUAUCAUUCUCUUUGGUUGUGUUAUUAACCAUAACCUACAGAUAAGCAGAAGGAAGCUAUUGGUUCUAUGGUUAGAAGCCAUCAGUGGGUACUAUUAUUGCUAAUUGAGUGACUAAUGAAAAAUAAUUGCCAAUGGAAUGAUUUUACUUGUUUACAAGUCUUUAAUUAAGAGUUCUGCAAUGUGGCUGUUUGUUGAGUUUAGGUUGCUUUCUUUUGUUGUUGAGAGGAGUGUUUAUGUCUUUUUAUGUUUUGUUAGGCUUUUGUUUAUUUGACAGGUUGGGUCUUUCUUUUUAUAUCUGUUUUAUACUUUUAUUUGAGUGUGGGCUUCAUGUAUUGGGCCAGCUUAGGCCCAUCUUUCUUUUGUUUUAAU